CAGGUCACUCCUACGGGAGGCAGCAGUGGGGAAUAUUGGACAAUGGGCGAAAGCUUGAUCCAGCUAGGUCGCAUGAGUGACGAAGAUAGAAAUUGUAAAACUCUUUUGUUUAAGAAGAUAAUGACUUAAUUUAAGAAUUAGCCCUGACUAACCUCGUGCCAGCAGUCGCGGUAAUACGGGGAGGGCGAGCGUUAUUCAGCGUGAUUGGGCGUAAAGGGCAUAUAGGCGGUUUAAUAAGUUCUUUUUGAAAUCUUACAGCUCAACUGUAAAAUUAUUUUGAAUACUGUUGAACUAGAGUAUAGCAGAAGAUAGCGAUACUUUUAAUGUAAAGGUAAAAUUUUUAGAUAUUAAAAGGGUCAUCAACAGGCGAAGGCGGUUAUCUAGGUUAUAACUGACGCUUACGUGCAAAAGCAUGGGUAGCAAACGGGAUUAGACACCCCGGUAGUCCAUGCCGUGACCGAUGAGUAUUGAAUGUUGGAAAAAGUUUAUUUUUUCAGUGUUUAAGCUAACGCGUUAAAUACUCCGCCUGGGGAAUACGAUCGCAAGAUUAAAACUCAAAGGAAUUGACG
rnacentral:rRNA from 1 species